AUUGAACGCUGGCGGCAGGCCUAACACAUGCAAGUCGAGCGGAGCGGCGGACGGAUGAGUAAUGCCUGUGUAUCUGACUGGUAGUUGGGGAUAACGUACUGCUACGAGCGCUAAUCACGCAUACUAUCCAUUGAGCCUAGGUCGGAUUAGCUAGUUGGUGGGGUAAAGGACUACCAGGGGGACGAUCCGUAGCUGGUCUGAGAGGAUGAUCAGUCACACUGGAACUGAGACACGGUCCAGACGCCUACGGGAGGCAGCAGUGGGGAAUAUUGGACAAUGGGCGAAAGCCUGAUGCAGCCAUGCCGCGUGUGUGAAGAAGGUCUUCGGGUUGUAAAGCACUUUAAGUUGGGAGGCGUUACCAGCAGAAGAAGCACCGGCUAACUUCGUGCCAGCAGCCGCGGUAAUAC
rnacentral:rRNA from 1 species